GAUGAACGCUGGCGGCGUGCCUAAUACAUGCAAGUCGAGCGAACGGACGAGAAGCUUGCUUCUCUGACGUUAGCCGCGGACGUGUGAGUCACACGUGUAUACUCCACCUAUAAUACUGGUAUAACCUCGGGAAACCGGAGCUAAUACCGGAUGAUAUUUUGAACCGCAUGGUUCAAAAGUGAAAGACGGUCUUGCUGUCACUUAUAGAUGGAUCCGCGCUGCAUUAGCUAGUUGGUAAGGUAACGGCUUACCACGGCAACGAUGCAUAGCCGACCUGUGAGAGGGAUCGGCCACACGGGAACUGGGACGCGGUCCAGACUCCUGAGGGAGGCAGCAGAAGGGAAUCGGACGCAGUGGGCGAGAGCCUGACAGAGCAAGGCCACGUGAGUGGUGGAGGUCUUCGGAUCGUGAAACUCUGUUAUUAGGGAAGAACAUAUGUGUAAGGAACUGUGCAGAUCUUGACGGUACCUGAUCAGAAAGCCACGGCUAACUACGUG
rnacentral:rRNA from 1 species